GUGCCAGCAGCCGCGGUAAUACGGAGGGUGCAAGCGUUAAUCGGAAUUACUGGGCGUAAAGCGCACGCAGGCGGUCUGUUAAGUCAGAUGUGAAAUCCCCGGGCUCAACCCGGGAACUGCAUUUGAAACUGGCAGGCUUGAGUCUCGUAGAGGGGGGUGGAAUUCCAGGUGUAGCGGUGAAAUGCGUAGAGAUCUGGAGGAAUACCGGUGGCGAAGGCGGCCCCCUGGACGAAGACUGACGCUCAGGUGCGAAAGCGUGGGGGAGCAAACAGGAUUAGAUACCCUGGUAGUCC
rnacentral:rRNA from 1 species